CUCGAGGUGGCCGCCUGGGACUCCCUCCUCCAAGACAUCGCACUUAUGCCGAUUAACGUCGAGGAGGACCGGGAUGUUCUUUCCUGGCGCCUCGAGCCCUCUGGCCGUUUCUCCACGAAGUCCCUAUAUGGCGCCAUUGCUCCCUCGACGGCCCCGGAACCAUUUAGCCUGAUCUGGGACAUCCGACUUCCGCUGAAAAUCAGGAUCUUCCUGUGGCAAUGGAUCCGUGGACGCCUCCCCUCUGGGCUUGAAGUCCUCAAGCGUAAUGGCCCGGGUGAUGGGAUGUGCCCCAUCUGUGGCACGAUUGAGGAUGCUAACCACAUCUUUUUCUCGUGCCACUCGGCCCAGUUCCUUUGGGCCUGCUUCCGCGAAACGGUUGGCGGACAGUGGUGUAAUACCAACUUCCCCGACCUGCUUGCCGAGCUCAACGCUUCCCCUACUCGCUACCGCCAUAUUAGAUGGUUGUGCGUUGGGGUUCUCGCCUGGACGCUUUGGAACAUUCGCAAUAAGCUUGUUAUUCAGAAGGUGCCUCUCCGACGUGCGACUGACGCAAUCUUCAAAUUGUGUGGCUACCUGAAGCUUUGGCGGCCGCUUAGCCGCCCCCAGGACCGGGACGUCAUCACCACCCUCCUCUCCGAUCUCCGCUCGAUGGCGCUCCGCGUGGCUCCCCCGCUGCCGCCUCCUCCUCCUGAGCCUGACUAG
rnacentral:rRNA from 1 species